CCCGGCGGCGUCCUCGCCCCUGCCUCCAACUCCAAGGCGCGCCGACCGUUCACUGCUCCUCCCCGUCCACCGAGCUCCGGCCAUCAGGUUAAUUAAGCUUGAUGCUUUGGAAGCUGAUAUGGAUGUCGAAUCAAACUCAGUCCCAUCGUACCUCCAACCAGACAAGGAGACUGAUCUUUAUUCUCAGCUUAACUAACCUGCUGCACCAAGUGGUCAUGCAGCAGUCCCGGUCCCGGCAAACCGGCAGCAGAGUGCUUGAAGCUAUAAGCAGGUGUCUUUUAUCUUGUCACAUGAUCUAAUUUACAGAUGCUACAUAUGAGAUCAAUUGUGGGAAAAAUUCCGCUUUUGGAUUUACAUCGAUGGUAAAAAAAAUAAAGGUUUCUAUGUUCAGAUUUGGCUGAUACAACUACUGGACCGGAAGUCUUGUUGGAAGUCAUGUCUCUGAGGAAAAAUGAGGGAGCUGUUCAAAUACGCGAUUAAAUGUGGGGAAAAUUCCCAAGUCUUGUUGGAAAAACAAAGGUUUCUGUGUUGAAUUUUGGUCAAUACAAAUCCUGGACCCCAAGUCUUCCCGGAAGUCAUGUGUCUGAGGAAAAAUGAGGCAGUGGCUGCAGCUUGUGGAAUUCAAAGUAUGCACAACCAAGUAGCAUCAUGACGACAAUGACUGAAGAAAAGUUCCAGGCUCAAGUGAGUUGACUCAGUAAAUUUCUACUACUAGUGCUUUCUGUAUGAGUUGAUUAGUUGCCGUGUAACAUCCAACACGCCAGUAUUUCCAGGUAUGCCCUUUGUACUUUACAAGUAGUAAUCAAAAGUGUGCAAAUUAUUAUUACUGCUUCAGUACUUUGGUAUCUCAUAGCAGUGCAUAUCAGAAACGGCAGUAAACACUUACGCAUUAUCAGUUCAUUUGACCAUGUAACUUGUAACUGCUUCAGUUAUGUCUUAAGCUAUUCUCUGAAGUGUGGAGUAAUCAUAUUCUAAGAUUCCAGCCUUGUCUCCCCUCCCGCGACUCUCCCGCGAGCGCCGG